rnacentral:rRNA from 1 species
UACAGAGGAGCCAAGCGUUGUCCGGAUUGACUGGGCGUAAAGCGCACGCAGGCGGUUGCGCGCGUGGGGUGUGAAAUCUGGCCGCUUAACGGCCAGGCGCCAUCCCAUACGGCGCGACUGGAGCGAUGCAGAGGUCGGUGGAAUUGCCGGUGUAGUGGUGAAAUGCGUGGAGAUCGGGAGGAAGGCCGGUGGCGAAGGCGGCGCUCUGGAACGUUUCUGACACUGAGGCUCGAAAGCGUGGGGAGCAAACAGG